rnacentral:misc_RNA from 1 species
UACAUGGGAGGCAUGGAUCCAGG